AUGCAGUCUAUUGUUUUCCUACAAGGAUUUAGAAAAUGGAAGCGAGUUAAUGAUGGAAACAAAUGUGCAUUCUUGACUCACAUGGGAAAGGAUAGUAAAUCUGCUCAUAGUUUUGCUGUCAAAUGUUAUGAUAAUUUGAAGAAUAAGCAAUGCCAUAUGGAACAAUUAGUGGUGAAGCAAACAGAAGAGGACAUCAAGAGGAAUAGGCUUCAUCUUAGAGUAACAAUCGAUGCACUACGGUGGUUAGCAUUCCAAGCUUGCCCCUUCCGUGGACAUGAUGAAAGUCUUGAUUCAAGGAACCAAGGUAAUUUCCUUGAAAUGGUCAAAUUGGUAGCUUCUGAUGAUGAGGAAAUUGGUGCGGUUGUAUUGGGUAAUGCGCCAGGGAAUGCUAAGUAUACCUCACCUACAAUUCAAAAAGAACUUCUGCAUAUGAUUGCUAUUAAUGUGCAAAAAGAAAUUCGUAAAGAAAAUGGGAUGCUAAGUUCUGCUUGCUUGUAG
rnacentral:rRNA from 1 species